GAUUUGCAGUCGGAGGCAGGCAAGAAGUGAAAUCAGAAGACGGGAAGUGGCUGAGGGGAACGUCUUUUCUCUCUCCUGCUCAGCCCGAAGUGAACAGGUAGCAUCAGAGAUGAGAUCCUGGAUUGAAUGACUACUAUGGAAAGUGAUUGACCAAGAUUGUCUCCAUUCCUCCCUGGCUUCUCCACAGGGCCGCUCACCAUGGCAGCCGGCUCCAUCACCACCAGCCAGCGAGAGGGCAAGACAAGAGGGCUGACGAGGGACGCUACCAUCACAGAGGCUGGUCUCGAACUCCUGACCUGAGGUAAUCCGCCCACCACAGCCUCCCAAAGUGCUGGGAUUACAGGCGUGGCUAUUAGCCUCGCCAAGUUAAGAUUCUUGAUGCCAACCAAUCACCCACUCCAUGUUUUUCAGGAUUAUAAACACUAGUCAUAAAGCAUGAACUGCCUGGGGGUGGUGGCUCACACCUGUAAUCCCAGCACUUUGGGAGGCAGUUGGAUCACCUGAGGUCAGGAGUUUGAGACUAGCCUGACCAAUAUGGUGAAACCCCACCUCUAGCUGGGUGUGGUGGUGUGCACCUGUAAUCCCAGCUACUUGGAGACAGGAGAAUCGCUUGAACCUGGGAGGUGGAAGUUGCAGUGAGUGGAGAUCAUGCCAUUGUACUCCAGCCUGGGCGACAGAGCAAGACUUCAUCUCAAAAAUAAGCAUUGACAACUGCGGGUCAAAACUGCCCCUGGUUGAGACUCACUGGCUGGAGCCAAAAGGCUGAGCUGCCUGCCCAACAGCAGC
rnacentral:lncRNA from 1 species